AGAAUUUGAUCUUGGUUCAGAUUGAAUGCUGACGGCGUGGAUGAGGCAUGCAAGUCGAACGGAAUCCUUCGGGAUUCAGUGGCGGAAGGGUUAGUAAUACAUGGGUAACCUACCUUCAACAUUGGGAUAACGGUUGGAAACGAUCGCUAAUACCGAAUGUGGUGAAUAGGAGACAUCUUCAGUUCAUUAAAGUGGGGGAUCGUAAGACCUCGCAGUUGAAGAGGGGCCCAUGCGAUAUCAGCUAGUUGGUGAGGUAAAGGCUCACCAAGGCUAAGACGUCUAGGCGGAUUGAGAGAUUGACCGCCAACACUGGGACUGAGAACUGCCCAGACUCCUACGGGAGGCUGCAGUCGAGAAUCAUUCGCAAUGGGCGAAAGCCUGACGAUGCGACGCCGUGUGAGCGAAGAAGGCCUUCGGGUCGUAAAGCUCUUUCGCUUGGGAACAAGAAAGGCUGACUAAUAAUUAGCUAAUUUGAGCGUACCAGGUAAAGAAGCACCGGCUAACUCCGUGCCAGCAGCUGCGGUAAUACGGAGGGUGCAAGCAUUAAUCGGAUUUAUUGGGCGUAAAGGGCGCGUAGGCGGGGAUAUAAGUCAGACGUGAAAUCCCGAGGCUCAACCUCGGAACUGCAUUUGAAACUGUAUCUCUCGAGGGUAGGAGGAGGAAACGGAAUUCCACAAGUAGCGGUGAAAUGCGUAGAUAUGUGGAAGAACACCGGUGGCGAAGGCGGUUUUCUAUCUUACUCCUGACGCUGAUGCGCGAAAGCAAGGGGAUCAAACAGGAUUAGAUACCCUGGUAGUCCUUGCUGUAAACUAUGUAUACUUGGUGUAACUGGACUCAACCCUAGUUGUGCCGGAGCUAACGCGUUAAGUAUACCGCCUGAGGAGUACAGUCGCAAGGCUGAAACUCAAAAGAAUUGACGGGGACCCGCACAAGCAGUGGAGCAUGUGGUUUAAUUCGAUCCACGCGAAGAACCUUACCCAGGCUUGACAUGCAGUAGACCGAUCCAGAAAUGGGUUUUUCCUUCGGGACUGCUGCACAGGUGCUGCAUGGCUGUCGUCAGCUCGUGCCGUGAGGUGUUGGGUUAAGUCCCGCAACGAGCGCAACCCUUAUCAUUAGUUGCCAACAUUUAAGGUGGGAACUCUAAUGAGACUGCCUGGGUUAACCAGGAGGAAGGUGAGGAUGACGUCAAGUCCGCAUGGCCCUUAUGUCUGGGGCUACACACGUGCUACAAUGGUCGGUACAGAGGGCAGCGAAACCGCGAGGCGAAGCAAAUCCCCCAAAGCCGAUCCCAGUUCAGAUUGUAGUCUGCAACUCGACUACAUGAAGAUGGAAUUGCUAGUAAUGGCGAGUCAGCAACAUCGCCGUGAAUACGUUCCCGGGUCUUGUACACACCGCCCGUCACAUCAUGGGAGUUGGUUUUACCCGAAUCCGCUGACUUAACCGCAAGGAAAGAGGCGUCUAAGGUAAGGCUGAUGACUGGGAUGAAGUCGUAACAAGGUA
rnacentral:rRNA from 1 species